AGAUGUCACAAUUUAGAGCCCCAAAAGUAUAAAGAGAGGGAUGGUCUCCCUGCUGCAACCAUUAGAAAAGUAGGACCGACAGCAUGCUUGCAACAAUUCGGGCACGGUUUUUGUCACCAGCCUCGACAGUGGAGUGCCUCAAUCCUGGCGUGCCUGUAAAAGACUGCGAUGCUCACUGAACUACACUGCAAGAAACAAAACAGAAAGAGGGAAAGCGUCAGACAAACCAACCAGGAACAAGGCAACAGAAGGGAGGCGGUAAAUGCUGAGGCUCGAUGACUGCAAAGCUCAGUCGGCUUGUCUGAGGGAGGACGAGACUAAAUCCAGGCAAGAAGUGAAAAGGCUGCACAGAGUUACUCAAGGUCAGCGCAUGACGACAAAGGGCUGUCUGCCGGAACGGAAGGAAAUGACACCCAAUACCCGUUCAUCCGGAAGGCUAGAAUGGAUGCUGUCUAACCCUGCUGAUCUUCUGCUAUUCUAUGGAGUCAGUCUUCACCUGAAUCUGCCAAAAUCCUGAGUAUUGUCUAGGCCUCAGUCCUGAGCUUUGCCUCCCAGUGAAUAGACCCUAUCCUUAUGAGAGAGGUCCCGUGUAUUUUGCAUUCCCCAUCAAUAGAAUCUAUCCGAGUGCUUAUUAAAGGGCUCUUACAGUGCCGAGAACUUGGUGUCUGGGUGUGUUCCGUGCCCACUCUGAGGUCCCUUCACUUCCUACAAGUGGAUUUGUAGGCUCUUUCUUCCUAGGCCUGUGCCGUGAGCACUAUUUAUCAGUCAAUAGAACGCAUUCUUAAUAUAAGAGUCACAGGAGCUUGGCGAGUUUGGAAGGGAGUUUCGGUGCAGCCGUCCCUGAAGCUUUAUGGUGAGAAUUGUCACGUGGAGACUUCCCCCAAGGCUUUACUGUGCUUAAAUGUGUAUGGAAAAUAAACCAUGAGGUCAG
rnacentral:lncRNA from 1 species